rnacentral:rRNA from 1 species
UAUCCUGACCGUGCGAAGGUAGCGUAAUCACUUGUCUUUUAAAUGAAGACCUGUAUGAAUGGCAUCACGAAGGUUCAACUGUCUCCUUCCCCCAGUCAAUGAAAUUGAUCUGCCCGUGCAGAAGCGGACAUAAAAACAUAAGACGAGAAGACCCUGUGGAGCUUUAGGCCAAGGAUCAAACAUGUAAAACAGACUCAAACCCUAAAAAGAAUAAUAAAAGUCCAAAAACCAAGAGUAACCUGAUCCUAAUGCCUUCGGUUGGGGCGACCGCGGGGGAAAAUAAAGCCCCCACAUGGAAUGGAACUACUUCCUAAACCAAGAGUUACAACUCUAAGUAACAGAAUUUCUGACCACCUAUGACCCAGGACAAACAUAAACCUGAUCAAUGAACCAAGUUACCCCAGGGAUAACAGCGCAAUCCUUUCCCAGAGUCCAUAUCGACAAGGGUUUACGACCUC